rnacentral:rRNA from 1 species
CGCGUAGGCGGCCAGCGCAAGUCAGUUGUGAAAUCUCCGGGCUUAACUCGGAACGGUCAACUGAUACUGCGCGGCUAGAGUGCGGAAGGGGCAACUGGAAUUCUCGGUGUAGCGGUGAAUGCGUAGAUAUCGAGAGGAACACCUGCGGCGAAGGCGGGUUGCUGGGCCGACACUGACGCUGAUGCGCGAAAGCCAGGGGAGCGAACG